rnacentral:lncRNA from 1 species
UUUAAGAGGACUUUGGUAGUUUUCUCCGCAUUUGACAAUCUGCAACACGCGUGGGAGAAAUCGGGAUACGUGGAAAGAUUCAUAAGCAUCAAGACAAGGACGAUGCAAGAAGGUUAGUAAAAUAAGUAAUCCAAUCCGAUUUUGGUUCCUGAAUACAUUGGCUAUUCAGUUUGUAAGUUUUUACUGCUCUCUAAUUCCAACAUUUUUCUUUAAACUAAGAAAAUUAAUUUUUUUCCUACAAAUUAAAUAAAUAGUAAAAGAGUGUAAAACUAUCUUUUUUACUAAUCUUUUUAUAAAAUUAUUUUUUAUAAUUUUAUAUGGAUCUAAAUAG